GGAGUAAACCUGACAAACCCAAAAGAUCGAAUGAGGAGAUUCAUCGUCAAAGUAUUUGGUAUUAGUGCAAUUUAUGAUGUAGUAAAUAAUCCUCGUGGUUAGAAUAUUAUACAUUAUUGUACUAUUUUGCUAGGUACGUCGGCGUGCACUUCUCCUCUAGUAGAACGUCGCGACCCGUUGGAUGUUGAUCUAUGGUCUAAAUGGUUGCCUUUGAUUUUGCUUGCAUUGUCGGAGACCUUUAGUAUCCUGAUCAUCUGUUCGACGGUAUACUUAUGGUGUACAGUCGCUUGUUAUAUGCGUUAAAUCCGCUGCAAGUGUGGUUAAUAAUUCGGCAGUAUGGAUCUGAUGCCAUCGCUGAUGUUGACUCACUGUUAGCAUGUGGUAUUCUUUAACUGACUUAAUACCGGUCAGCGAUGCUACUGCUUUGGUACUUCAGGA
rnacentral:rRNA from 1 species